rnacentral:rRNA from 1 species
ACGAAGGGGGCUAGCGUUGUUCGGAAUUACUGGGCGUAAAGCGCGCGCAGGCGGCCAUUCAAGUCAGGGGUGAAAGCCCAGAGCUCAACUCUGGAACUGCCCUUGAAACUGUAUGGCUUGAGUAUGAGAGAGGUGAGUGGAAUUCCCAGUGUAGAGGUGAAAUUCGUAGAUAUUGGGAAGAACACCGGUGGCGAAGGCGGCUCACUGGCUCAUUACUGACGCUCAGGCGCGACAGCGUGGGGAUCAAACAGGAUUAGAUACCCUGGUAGUCCACGCCGUAAACUAUGGACGCUAGCCGUUGGGCAGCUUGCUGCUCAGUGGCGCAGCUAACGCAUUAAGCGUCCCGCCUGGGGAGUACGGCCGCAAGGUUG